AAAUUGAAGAGUUUGAUCAUGGCUCAGAUUGAACGCUGGCGGCAGGCCUAACACAUGCAAGUCGAACGGUAACAGGAAACAGGUUGCUG
rnacentral:rRNA from 1 species